UUCCAAGACCCCGAGGCUCGAGCCCUCAAUCAGAUUUUUGGGGGAUCUUUGCCGUUGAUCCUAGCAAUGAAGAAAGAUGAUCUUCCUUUAGCCGGGCACACACCCAGUAAGAUGUGA